CUGCAUGGCUGUCGUCAGCUCGUGUCGUGAGAUGUUGGGUUAAGUCCCGCAACGAGCGCAACCCUUGUCAUUAGUUGCUACAUUCAGUUGGGCACUCUAAUGAGACUGCCGGUGACAAACCGGAGGAAGGUGGGGAUGACGUCAAGUCCUCAUGGCCCUUAUGGGUAGGGCCUCACACGUCAUACAAUGGCGCAUACAGAGGGUUGCCAACCCGCGAGGGGGAGCCAAUCCCAGAAAGUGCGUCGUAGUCCGGAUCGGAGUCUGCAACUCGACUCCGUGAAGUCGGAAUCGCUAGUAAUCGCGGAUCAGCAUGUCGCGGUGAAUACGUUCCCGGGUCUUGUACACACCGCCCGUCACACCAUGGGAGCGGGUUUCACCAGAAGUAGCUAGCCUAACCGCAAGG
rnacentral:rRNA from 1 species